rnacentral:rRNA from 1 species
UACGUAGGGUGCGAGCGUUGUCCGGAAUUAUUGGGCGUAAAGAGCUCGUAGGCGGUUUGUCGCGUCGACUGUGAAAACUGGGGGCUUAACUCUCAGCUUGCAGUUGAUACGGGCAGACUUGAGUUCGGUAGGGGAGACUGGAAUUCCUGGUGUAGCGGUGAAAUGCGCAGAUAUCAGGAGGAACACCGGUGGCGAAGGCGGUUCUCUGGGCAUUACCUGACGCUGAGGAGCGAAAGUGUGGGGAGCGAACAGG